UACGUAGGGAGCAAGCGUUGUCCGGAAUCACUGGGCGUAAAGGGCGCGUAGGUGGCGAGAUAAGCGUGUGGUGAAAGCCCGGGGCUCAACCCCGUGUCUGCCAUGCGGACUGUCUUGCUCGAGCGUAGUAGAGGCAGGUGGAAUUCCGGGUGUAGCGGUGGAAUGCGUAGAGAUCCGGAAGAACACCGGUGGCGAAGGCGGCCUGCUGGGCUACUGCUGACACUGAUGCGCGACAGCGUGGGGAGCAAACAGG
rnacentral:rRNA from 1 species